rnacentral:rRNA from 1 species
CCUACGGGUGGCUGCAGUGAGGAAUAUUGCGCAAUGGAGGAAACUCUGACGCAGCCAUGCCGCGUGAAGGAUUGAAGGUCCUAUGGAUUGUAAACUUCUUUUAUAUGGGAAUAAACCUCCGAACGUGUUCGGAGCUGAAGGUACCAUAAGAAUAAGCACCGGCUAACUCCGUGCCAGCAGCCGCGGUAAUACGGAGGGUGCAAGCGUUAUCCGGAUUUAUUGGGUUUAAAGGGUCCGUAGGCGGACCGUUAAGUCAGUGGUGAAAGCUCGCAGCU